UCCUCUCUCCCGAACACUCUUCGGAACACCGCCAAUGAAACCUCAGUCGCUUCUCUAACCACCACCACCAAAACUCCAUGGACGCUCUCUUCGUCAACCAGUACUCCAUCUCCGGCCUCAGACUCUCCCCAAACCUCACCACCACCACCUCCUCAUUCCCUCCCCAAUCCUUCCACCGCCUUAAACCCACCACCUACACCACCACCAAGCCCACCACCCUCAUAACCGUCUCCGCCAUCCAAAACCAACAACAAACCCAAUCCAUCGAAACCCAUAACCCACUUCCGCUCCCAGAUGCCAAUGAACCCGACGAAAACGACGAAUCCUACGGAGAGGUAGACA
rnacentral:lncRNA from 1 species